rnacentral:lncRNA from 1 species
AGAGGGGUGUGUGGAGCUGCUGAGCAGGUGCACGCGUGUGAGUGCUUGAUGUCUUGUCUAGUGUGAAUAAGAGAGGAAAGGGGGGAGCUGUUCUUUGUUUAUUUUGCAGAUAAAUCUCAUCGCUAAUCCGGAUGCACAGCAAUGUCUUGUGCAAAGGAAAGGAAGCCCCCUAUGCCACCCAGACGACAUCCAUAUAAAUCACAGGUUUUAUUCUUUGGCUGUGAGGGGGCUCUGCAGAUUGGUGCAACGUUGCACACUCUCAUUGGGCGAUGCUUCAUUACUUGGCAGAAAAUCCCCAGGGCCAAAACGUUAUUUAAAUGUGCUAUGAAAAUAAACAUGAUUUAUAUGUGUGUUGUCUGCUGAGAUGUUCUCUGUUACUGCAGGUGCUGUCAUGCAUCAGGAUUAGCGCUUCAAUUUAUCGUCAGUCCCAGCUACACACAUGUUCAAUGACAGGACGUUGUCCACAUCCCUAAAAGUUCCAGGAAGGAGAUGGUGCUUGCUGAGUGGUGGGUUUUAGCUCUUCAAUGCUGUGGUUGACUUUUAUGGACUGAGGAUGCAUGCGUGUGUGUGCAUGCUCAUGCUGAACCUGGGCUGUGUUUUGUUUGAGGGAUGCAAGGAACAGACACUUUGUACUUAGGGGCAUCAAUUUCCAAUGGCAGCAGAAUGAUGUUUCUGGUCAAAAGAGAAAGAAGAAAGUGCAAUCUUUAUUUCACCUAGGGCUGGGGCC